rnacentral:lncRNA from 1 species
UUCGGCCUUGGUCGAAGUGGUGGGCUGCUGCCCUCACAAUGCUUGUGAGGGCAGCGGUUCUAGCCCUCACAAAAGUAUUGUGGGGGCUAAAUAUUCUUUAUAUUUAAAAAUUCUUCUCCCUUACGAAAUGUAAGUGGAGUAUGGACAUCAUUCUCUUGUGAGGGGUUAUUUGUUUGGGCAUGUACUUCUGAGCAUGUACUUCAUAGAAUUCAAUAUAAUAAUAUAAGUCUUAAUUAUGUAUGAAUUCAAUAUAAUAAUGUAAGUCCCAAUUAUGUAUAUCUGAUUGUAAAUAUCAAUAUAAUAUCUCAAUUAUAAUAGUAGUUAUUAUAAAUAUCUGUGUAAUGUAAUAAUAUGAUGAUUAAUCAAUAUUAAAA